rnacentral:rRNA from 1 species
GUGGGGAAUAUUGCACAAUGGGCGCAAGCCUGAUGCAGCAACGCCGCGUGAGGGAUGACGGCCUUCGGGUUGUAAACCUCUUUUAGUAGGGAAGAAGCGAAAGUGACGGUACCUGCAGAAAAAGCACCGGCUAACUACGUGCCAGCAGCCGCGGUAAUACGUAGGGUGCAAGCGUUGUCCGGAAUUAUUGGGCGUAAAGAGCUCGUAGGCGGCUUGUCGCGUCUGCUGUGAAAUCCCGGGGCUCAACCCCGGGCCUGCAGUGGGUACGGGCAGGCUAGAGUGCGGUAGGGGAGAUUGGAAUUCCUGGUGUAGCGGUUGAAUGCGCAGAUAUCAGGAGGAACACCGAUGGCGAAGGCAGAUCUCUGGGCCGCUACUGACGCUGAGGAGCGAAAGCAUGGGGAGCGAACAGGAUUAGAUACCCUGGUAGUCC